UACGUAGGGCGCAAGCGUUGUCCGGAAUUAUUGGGCGUAAAGAGCUCGUAGGCGGCUUGUCGCGUCGGUUGUGAAAGCCCGGGGCUUAACCCCGGGUCUGCAGUCGAUACGGGCAGGCUAGAGUUCGGUAGGGGAGAUCGGAAUUCCUGGUGUAGCGGUGAAAUGCGCAGAUAUCAGGAGGAACACCGGUGGCGAAGGCGGAUCUCUGGGCCAUUACUGACGCUGAGGAGCGAAAGCGUGGGGAGCGAACAGG
rnacentral:rRNA from 1 species